AGAGCGAACGCUGGCGGCAGGCCUAACACAUGCAAGUCGAACGGACUCUUCGGAGUUAGUGGCGGACGGGUGAGUAACACGUGGGAACGUGCCUUUUGGUUCGGAAUAGCUCCUGGAAACGGGUGGUAAUGCCGAAUGUGCCCCCCUCCUUUGAUCGGGGGGGUGGAAAGAUUUAUCGCCAUUAGAGCGGCCCGCGUCUGAUUAGCUAGUUGGUGAGGUAAAGGCUCACCAAGGCGACGAUCAGUAGCUGGUCUGAGAGGAUGACCAGCCACAGUUGGGACUGAGACACGGCCCAAACU
rnacentral:rRNA from 1 species